AACAUCGCGCACCUGCGGGAACCUGCGGAAGGAUCAUUAAUGAUUGGUGGCUGUUGCUGACUAGUGUUUCUAGUAUGUGCACGCCACACCUUCAAUCCCACCUACACCUGUGCACCUUCUGUAAUAGAUCUAUGUGGAUACGGAGAUAUGAAAGUUUGCGCUCUCGUACUCUGUUGAAGCAGUCUACUACGUUUUUUUACACACACACAAUAGUCAUUGAAUGUAUUUUUUAUUCUUAUG
rnacentral:misc_RNA from 1 species